rnacentral:rRNA from 1 species
CUAUGCGCCUUGCCAGCCCGCUCAGGUGUGCCAGCAGCCGCGGUAAUACGGAGGAUGCGAGCGUUGUCCGGAUUUACUGGGCGUAAAGGGAGCGUAGGCGGACUUUUAAGUGAGAUGUGAAAUACUCGGGCUCAACUUGAGUGCUGCAUUUCAAACUGGAAGUCUAGAGUGCAGGAGAGGAGAAUGGAAUUCCUAGUGUAGCGGUGAAAUGCGUAGAGAUUAGGAAGAACACCAGUGGCGAAGGCGAUUCUCUGGACUGUAACUGACGCUGAGGCUCGAAAGCGUGGGGAGCAAACAGG